UCCAGAGAGAGCGCAUAACCGUCUCCUCCUCGAUCCUUCCCACCGCCGCCUCCAUGUUGCUCUGUGUUGGUCGAAUCGAAGGGGACAGUAGAUGAGAGAUGAGAAACAGACGAUGAAGGGAUGACGAGUCGAGCUCAAACAAGGCGCACAGGACGCCGUCGGCCGCCCCUUGACUUCAGCGAUGUUCGACGGCCACGUUUGGAAUGGUGGGAGGCUGCGCAGUUGGUGCAGAACUAUGGGGGAUUUUCGGGUGUCAGCUGUCACGCUUAAAGAUGGACUUUCAGUCUAACUUGUAGCGUCGGAUUUUAUUUGAAGGGUGUUUGGUGACGAGAGAUGCGAUGAACAUUCUGAACACAUUACUUGCGAAAAAAAUUGGUUCUUAUGAGGGAUGAACAAUUCUUUGGCAUAUCUGAAACUUCAAUGGCAAAGUGGCACCGGAGUGUCUUAUUUCUGCACCUUCAGGAGGAAUAUCCUGACACAGAAAUGAAUCUAGCUGGACAUAUUUGCAUGCUCGAACAGCUUCGGCGGAAGGAAAAGGAAAAGCUGGCAAGCGAGCUAAUGGAUAUUGCAAGAGAAAAAACAGAAAAUAAAAGGCAGCAAGAGGAACAUUAGCAAACGCCAAAAGCCAGAGUGACAGCAAUCAAGUCACCAGAUAUGAUAGUGGUCCUUUUAAAGAAACGCUGUUCUGCCUUCCCCUGCGUCUCUGAGCAGAAGCAAGCAGGAGGACAACGAGCAGCGCUCUUCUAUCAUUUAAUUUGUUGCAGGUAGCCAGGUACAAUCGCCAAGUCCUUGGGACUGGAUCUGGGUUUUUCUGGUUCCAGAAUUCCUUGGCGAAGAAUUCCCAAUGAUUGCUAGCCAGGAUAGCUCAGUGGAAUGUCAUAUCCUAUCCAAUAUCCAAAUAUAUGUUAAUAUUUGCUUGGGUUCCACGCUUAUGUUUUCUUAAUGAUUCAUGCCAUGCUAUUGCCGGCUAUUAUCGUUGUUGUAUGUAUCCUUCAGCUUCUUUAGGUGGUAAAUUCAUAUGUGGAAAUGUAAGCACACUUUUGCCGUAGUUGUUCCCACAGUCUUAAUGCAUUUCCUAUCUGA
rnacentral:rRNA from 1 species